CAAUGCGCUCGUGGUUUCUUGUGCAAUGAGAAUGUGUGCCCAGAGAGACAGAGGCGGUGCCAGCUGACGCAGUGCAAGGGAGGUGAGAACGCUGUCAAGGUUUUGCUCCCUGCAAAGGGUGGGUGCACCUUUUCCAAUACAGAUGAAAGAAACAAUGCAAUGCCACAACACAAAUUUGCACCAGGCCAUCAGGAAUCCUCAGCUGUGUGCUUUGCUAUGGACUUCCUUGGGUUAACACCUCUUUCCCACACAGUCACAAGUCGGAGUGAAUCCUCUGCUGUUGAUGGUGUCACAGCCCUGUGCAAUAGUAACAAGAGACAGCCAGACCCACUGUGUGACUCCAGGUCUCAAGUCUUGCUGUUCCUGUACAAGGAUAAAGACCACCACGCUUGUCCACUCAGGCUGAAGGCGCACUUCUGGCACUCCUUGAGGCUUGUUGUAACCCUGAGAAGGUGCUGGGGGAACUAGUGGGGUCCGAGUGGUUUGCACCACCCCAUACAGAAACCAAGGCCUCAGACAGGAAUUAUCUAUAUAAUGCCUUCAACUCCAGUCCAAUAUGUGGGACUUUCUCCUCUCUGUCACCAGAUUUUCACUUUGCUUUUCACUGAAACACAAAUAACUGGAAUUUCAUUUUCCCUCAUAGAAUUUUGUGAUUACAUUAUGUUGUGUAGGAUAAGCACAUAGUAGAUCCAUCUCCCUCUCCCCUGCCACCUAUUCCUUCCAUCAGGCCCAUUCUUUGGCCUUGUCAUCACCCUGUCAUACAAUCUGCUUUUCACAAUUUUGGGAGACUUUGCUCACAGUGAGACUCGAGGCCUUCCUAGCAGCUGCUACACAAGCUCAUCAUUGCUAGUAACUGAGCACAAGACAGUGGAGGCAGGCAGCAUUUUUGCUGAAAGCCAUGUUGGAUCUGCCCAGUAAGAGAGGCCAGGCAGACAAUAACACAAGGUUCUUGUACCACACCAUGCAAGUAGUCUGUUUCCUGCAAAAGUCAACUCAUUCAGAAGAAAACAAAAUAAGUUAGUGUACCUAGCCAGUUGCAAAGCAGACUGGACAGAAAUAUUCCUCUAUUUUCUUUCCUUUCCUGAUAGGGCAGCCAAAGAAACAUUGUUAUACUGAGAAUUCUUCUGCCUCCUUUUACCCCCCACAAAAUUUCAUUUAUCUCACCAUGGUUUCUGGAUAGUAGCAGAAACAAGAAUUUAAUUUAAAUAUGUUUGAAUCUACAGUCAAACUUUCUUAGAAAACAGGAAUGUUUUGGUUUGCAUGUGUUUUGAUUUAACCCAUUAUUUUGCUGCAUUAAUCCCAUUAGAAAUCUGAAUGCAUCUGACACAAAAGUUAAAGCUCUGAAUCUGUUGCUUCAUCUUCAGCAGAAACAAAAUAAAAAUAAGGAUAUGGGAAUUAAAAAGGAAAUUGACAAAACACUUUUCUAAGGGCAACUGCUAAAUUUCACAAAAACGUGCUACCUGCAGAUUUGGAAUAUCACCUGUCACUUGAGAUACUACAGGUCCUAAUUAUCAGAGUGCUAAUUUUCAGGGUGCAAAGCUGGGACUUAACAACUUCAUUCCAAACACGGGCAAGCACACUGGGAUUUUGCCUUAUAAUUUUUAUCAUCCAAAGAGAGAGAAAUACUCCUUUUUCCUGAAAUUAACUCUUUGCCUCUGGUAAGGAAGGCCAAAGAAGCAAGUUGGCUGUUGAGGAUUCAGAGGCUGCACAGACUGAAAGGAAAAACCAUGAAGCACUAUCUUUUCCUCCAAAUGGGUGCAGGAUGCAGGGCUCUGACCCUGCUAAGACCCUCAGUCUGGCAAGUAACUAUUGCAAGUUCCAGCUGUACCAAAGCUCUCUCCCUCUAUGCUGGAAUCCCUUUGCAGACUACAGUGAUCGGCACAAACCAAUUUUUUUCCUCUCUGUCUGGGAUCUGGCAAUGGCCCCCUGCAACUUAACUGCUCUCCCCACCAGCCUUUUCUCCAGGCUGUGUGUUGACCUGGCAAAUGCUUCUAGCUGUAAGGAGAUGAAAAGAAGCAUACUGCUGGAAGCAUUCCCACUAGAGAGGUGCUAGGAAGAUGACUGCAAGAUCACAAGGCCCUAAAGCAAGUUAAGUCACUCCGGCCAAUAAUGUUAUCAUACCUAAGGAAAUGACAAUGUGGCCAUUGUGCAAUGGAUCAGGUAGAGAUAAGAUACUAUGAAUUUCCUAAGAAAUCCAUGCUAAAACUAGAGCAAUAUGAGGCCUGGAAAGCAGUAAAUCUUAUGUAAAGUUGGAAAGGAUACCAUGAUUGUGGAAGAUAUUUCAAUGUCACAUUGCUUUGCAUUUUUAAGCAGCACAUGGUGAACAAUACAUUUCAGGCCUACUCUUGCAAAGUCAUAAAGGAUAGAUAGGCCCAGUAAUAAAACUUUUAACAGUGUACCUGAAGGAAUGGCUGUAAAACCAGUGGUCAGGACAGCAAGAAAGUUCAACCAAUCUCAGCUUCAACCUCUGGCAACUAUUUCAAAGGGUUUCAUGGAGGUGAGUGCCCACAAGCCAAUGAAAUUAGACCGUUCAUGAAAUAUUUACUGCACUUGACUGGGAAGAAUUGCCAGCUUUUGAAAAACACAUCCACCGCCUCUCUCCUAUCUUAUAAACAACUCCAGUGCUACCAGCUUCAGCACUCUGUGCUGCAAGCACUUCCAGAGUCAUCAAUCAGGUUAAAACCCUUUCCCCUAUGCACACACUGGGCUUGAAACCAUUAUGGGCUGGCUGUGCUCCCACAGCCAGCUGGAGACAGAGGUGCUUCAAAUGCAUUCAACGGGAAAGGAAAUAAAACCCCCACCUUUGCUGGCUUUUAAUUAAAAAAAUGUCAAGCCUCAUUGGUUCUCAGGAAAACAUAGAGUUGGCUCAUGUUUAAAGUGAUAGUAUGGAAAUAAAAUCAGUAUUUUAACAAAUUUCAUUCCCUGUGUUAGUAAGACCUUUAACAAAAAGGCUGUUCACCAUAAAAAUAAGACUUUUUGGUCAUGGAAGGCAGGCACUUUGGUCUCAAAAGAAGACUAUUAAAGAAGCUAUGAAUUGGCUUCUCUUUGGGAUUUAUACCUAUCUUUUCAGAGACCUGCAUUUCAUUGAAAUCAAUUCUAGGCCAUUCCAAGGAUAGUGAGCUCUGUUAGGCUGGAUAAGAAGUAACAGAUAGCAAAGCAAUAGCACCAGAUGGCAGAAGCAAGCAAGUGAGGAAGUGAAUGCCACUUACCCACAUGGCAGAUCAUUUGCUGUGAACUACCACCCCUAUUGUGAUAGAAAAGGAUAGAAUCUUGUGAGUGGAAAAUGAACUGGAAUGGAGACAAGAUUUCUUGGUUCGUGUGUAAACGGUGAUUAUAAUAAUUUUUCUGUAGUGUCCCAGAGAGUAGAAAUUAAAUAUGUGACAAGUCCCAGGCCUCUCUUGUCCUUGGUGAACUUAUAUACAUGUUUCAAAUACCCCUGCCUAACUAUCAUUCUCAUUAUCAGAAUGAGCUGAGAAUCCAAAAAUUGAAUGAACAUCCUUCAGGUCCCCAGAUGAUGAAGAAGGACUUAAAGGUUGGGGUUUUUUGUUCAACCUAAAGGUUCCCAGCUCAUCAUCGCCAUGAGUCUACAGCUUGCUGCUUUCCACUCUGGGUCCUUCAAGAUGCCCAGAUGUGUACUGUGAAACUGGGGACACAUCCUCAUUUCCUGUGUCCUAAUACUGCCUUACAGUGACUAACAGUUCUUAAAGGUUAGAAAAAAGGAAUUUCAAAAGAAAAUGGACUCAACCUUGUGCUGGAGCUUGCCUAGAAUAUGACUGUUUGGGGUAAUUUUUAUGUGAAAAUAAAACUCCUUCCCUUUUUUUCUCCUAAUCAAUUUUCUCCUAUUCCCAUUUAUCCAUCAAUAAUGUGCAAUUCAUGGCCAAAAAUGGAGGCCAUAGAAUCUUUCUAGAAAAGAAGAAUUGGUUUCAAUCACUUGUAGAACAACCAUUUUCUUCAUAACUCAAAACAAACUUUUGGAAGAAGUUUUCUAUCAAAACCAUUCAGAAACAAGUCCCUUAUAUUAGCCUUCUUGGCUCAAAUGUUAUGGUAAAUUAUAAUUAGAUGAAAACAGGAUUUUAUAGUGGAAGGUCUAAGACAACUGCAACAAUCAUGGGAUGAAUAUCUCUGCCUGUCCAUCAACAAUAAGGUGACAGCAAUUCCAAAUGUCUACAAGACCAAACACAUUCAAAAAUGAGCUUAAAGUCCUUAACAGAUCACUCAGGAUACAUUGAUACACCAUGCUUCCUGCUUCCCAGAUAACAGGGGCAAUUCCAUGCCUAUAUCUGCACUAAUCUUAACCCAUGUACUUCCUUUGGAAGUCAUUGCCUGGGCUUUUGUGUGUCUGCAACUUUGUUGUAGAUGCUUUCUGGUAUUGCAGGUAUAGUGGUGCAUGCUUCUGUGCUCAAAAACACAGCCAUCCAUGAACUCAUUAUUAUCACCCUCCUUUGCCAGAGAUUACUCAAGAGAUACACAGAGAAACAGAAAACAUAGUGAAAACAAACCAGGAUUGCUUCAUCAAAGUUUUUUAUUCUGUUUUAUUCUUAUCCUGAAAAUUACUGCCACAUAAAAAUAAAAGGGUCAAAGAAUGCUGGGAUCUAACUACAAAACACAUGUGAGAGAUGAGCAGCAGCACAAGCUUCCCUACUGUCUGACACAGCAUGGUCACUCAGGCAGAGGAAGACUAAUGACAGGAAUAAUGUGUUGCCUCUGACCAUUCAUUCUCUGCUGAUAUUAGUGACAAAGGUCUCAGGUAGUUUUCCCUGGUUAACAUCAUGUUGGACCACUGACCCUUUUCAGAAAGACCAAAGAUGAGAAGAAGGAGUAUAGGUCUAGGUCCCAUCCCAGAUAUGUAUGCUGCUCUGCAGUCCUGUAUAUCAACAUGGAGUAAGGAUCCCUUAUGGAGGGAAUCAAAGUGAUCAAUUGCUGUCUGCUGGGAGGGAAAAGAAACAGACUGCAGCAAUGAGAAUUCUAUCCCCUGCUCUUUCUUCUGAAAGGCAAAUGCAUUCAAACUGUUAGUUUACUGUUAGUGACUCUUAGAGACAAAGUAGCCCAAUCUUACAGAGCAAAAUAUCUGACAUGAGUCUGGAGACUUACACUGUCCUACUGAAACUGAACUUUUCAUGAUGCUAAAGAACCUAUUCAAAAAUUAACAUAGGACUCUCUUUUCAGUUGUUUUAAGAAUACAUGUUAGUACAUUUUUAUGGAAGGUCCUGGCUGCAUGAAGAAUUGCAUUUGUAAGUUAGCUGUGAAACACAGGCCACCAAAUUCAGAAACUGUCCUGGAAACAGCACCAGCCAGUACUGUCUUAUGUAACAGGAAAGCUUAGAGGAACUGAUGAACGAUUAUCUAAAGAUGCCAUUCCAUGGCACCUUCAACCAGUCUCAGCUGAGUGGCCUAAAAAAUCCCCCUGGAUUGUUCUUCAGCCAGUUUAAGCCAGUUUGUGCAACUAUUCAGGUCAGAAAAGCACCAGAGCAAGAGAAGGAGAGGGAGCCGGGAGCUGAAUGAGUAGGAGCACAGCAGACGGAGCAGUUUAAACUGCUAUGGAGCUAAACCAGGGAAGUCUGAUCCACUUUUCAGUCACUGCUGAAUGUAGCACAUGAGCUCCUACAUGUUCACUUCUUAAUGCUAAAGCACUUUUUCAGAUAUUUAUAAAAGACCUUCCCUGAUUAUCACAGAGGUAACUGGAUCCUACAGCACUUCCACUGAAGGCAGUGGAAAGAAAACAGGCUGCUUUCAGUCAACAAUGGCAAACCAAGCAAGGAGUGAAACUGAAAAGCAGCUGUGCAAAGACAUUCUACAAUUAGAAUUACAGACAGUAAAGAAACCCUGAAGAGAAAUGGCAAGUGAAGCCCCUUUGGAUUUUGAACUGAAACCUGCUCUCUUGAAUAUUCGGCACUGCUAAAUGGGAAAUGGCAACGAUUCACUGUAGACAAAUCUCCUGAUGUCUGACAGCUUGAAUGCAGUGGGUAGAAGUGACACAGUAAUGGAUAGAAGUCGAUGCUCCUUGACUCGUAAAUUAAAUCAGCUGUGAAGUCUUUAGUAAAGGGCAAAGUGUGAACAAGCUGGCUGAAGGGACCCUAGCCUGUGUGGAAGUUAGCUGAUGGGGAGACGCUCCCUCUGCGUACAGCAGUCCUAGUCUGAGAGACUGCUGCCCUCCAGCUGCCUCUGCCUGCCACCCCGCUCAGGGCUGCUGUCUCCCCAGCAGAGCCACCGGUGUGAGCGCUUCCAGGCAGGCUCCGCCACAUCAGUGUAAAUGAGUGGUUUGAGCUGGUACACCUUUACCCUACACCGCAAAACAUUCUGGGGAGCGUACACGCAAACCCUGUCCGUGGCUGAGCAGUUGGCAGUGGCCAACAGAGGACUGUGGUAAGUAACUGAUCUCAGCAACGCCUUCCAGCUGCGUCCGGAGGAAGGGGUUGUCCAUGGGUUUUGACUUCACUCUUGUUUAC